GUUCCGAAAUCAGCAUCCAAAAACACAUGUUUAUUCCAUGAAUGUAUUUUUUUAUAUACAGGUACCUAAUAUAUUAGGUAAAAAAUACAUUCAUGGAAUAAACAUGUGUUUUUGGAUGCUGAUUUCGGAAC